GAUGAACGCUGGCGGCGUGCCUAAUACAUGCAAGUCGAGCGAACGGACGAGAAGCUUGCUUCUCUGAUGUUAGCGGCGGACGGGUGAGUAACACGUGGAUAACCUACCUAUAAGACUGGGAUAACUUCGGGAAACCGGAGCUAAUACCGGAUGAUAUUUUGAACCGCAUGGUUCAAAAGUGAAAGACGGUCUUGCUGUCACUUAUAGAUGGAUCCGCGCUGCAUUAGCUAGUUGGUAAGGUAACGGCUUACCAAGGCAACGAUGCAUAGCCGACCUGAGAGGGUGAUCGGCCACACUGGAACUGAGACACGGUCCAGACUCCUACGGGAGGCAGCAGUAGGGAAUCUUCCGCAAUGGGCGAAAGCCUGACGGAGCAACGCCGCGUGAGUGAUGAAGGUCUUCGGAUCGUAAAACUCUGUUAUUAGGGAAGAACAUAUGUGUAAGUAACUGUGCACAUCUUGACGGAACCUAAUCAGAAAGCCACGGCUAACUACGUG
rnacentral:rRNA from 1 species